GACGAACGCUGGCGGCGUGCUUAACCCAUGCAAGUCGAACGAAGUGGCGAACGGGUGAGUACUACGUGGGUAACCUGCCCUCCUUUUUGGGAUAAGCCUUGGAAACGGGGUCUAAUACCGAAUAAAGGGGGAUGGGCUCGCGGCCUAUCAGCUUGUUGGUGGGGUGAUGGCCUACCAAGGCGGUGACGGGUAGCCGGCCUGAGAGGGUGACCGGCCACAGUGGGACUGAGAUACGGCCCGGACUCCGACGGGAGGCAGCAGGGGGGGAGAUUGAACAAUGGGCGAAAGCCGGAUGCAGCGAGGCCGCGUGAACGAAGAAGGCUUUCGAGUCGUAAAGUUCUUUCGGUACCAGAAGAAAAAGCCCCGGCUAACUACGUGCCAGCAGCCGCGGUAAUUC
rnacentral:rRNA from 1 species